rnacentral:rRNA from 1 species
UACAGGGGGUGCAAACGUUGCUCGGAAUCAUUGGGCGUAAAGCGCACGUAGGCGGUUCGUUAUGUCGGAUGUGAAAUCCCUCGGCUUAACCGAGGAACUGCCCUCCAAACUGCUUUGCUUGAGGCCGGGAGAGGCGAGUGGAAUUCCCAGUGUAGCGGUGAAAUGCGUAGAUAUUGGGAGGAACACCAGUGGCGAAGGCGGCUCGCUGGACCGGGUCUGACGCUGAGGCGCGAAAGCGUGGGGAGCAAACGGG